rnacentral:rRNA from 1 species
UACGAAGGGGGCUAGCGUUGCUCGGAAUCACUGGGCGUAAAGCGCACGUAGGCGGACUCUUAAGUCGGUGGUGAAAUCCUGGAGCUCAACUCCAGAACUGCCUUUGAUACUGAGGAUCUUGAGUUCGGGAGAGGUGAGUGGAACUGCGAGUGUAGAGGUGAAAUUCGUAGAUAUUCGCAAGAACACCAGUGGCGAAGGCGGCUCACUGGCCCGAUACUGACGCUGAGGCACGAAAGCGUGGGGAGCAAGCAGG